AGGAGCUGCACCAGGAGUGGGGCUGUGGCUCCCUGUGCAGCGUGGAGUCUGACUGUUCGAUUCCACAAGGGAACCCCACAGGCCACUGCUUUGAGGGAGCUCUGGCCUUGCAUCUCAGGAGCCUCCAGUGGCAGGCAUCCCUGCUGUUGUUUUGUUAACAUUUGGCAUUAGGGCUGUGGCAUGUAGGUGCUUGGGGUGUGGACGGGUGAAUUAUCAUCAUGCACAGAGAGUUCUAUGGCAGGAUCACAGCUUGCAAGUAAAGGUGAGAUUGAAGGAAGUGGGAUUGGACUUUAACAACAACAGUAAUGACAACAGCUCCAGCCCAUCUCAACUAACUGCUUCUCUUUUCCCCAACAAGGAUCGUUAGUACCAUCUAAAGAUUCAAAAAGUGCCCCAGUUGGAGGUGGGGAGAGCAGAAUGGCCUGUUUGUUGGCAAAUCCUCAACCCCCAGCAACCUGACUACGUCUGCUCAGUGGUCACCUCACCGAGACAAGUUUCCUGCGACUACCUGCUUAUUGUGGGUGCCACCUACAUCACUGCCAGAAUCACUCUAUUUGGAUUCAGGGGAUGUAGAGCUGCUGGUGUUGCUGUCUUUGAAGAUCUCAAUUUGCUGCACCUCCACAGCCCCAGUCACCUGGAGGAAUUUCACUUGCUCGAUCGGGAUACGAUGAGAGUACUCAUAGAAGCGCUUGUUGUUCACAAUCACCUGGUGAGUAAAGGGGAGCGUUAGAAACAGUGAAUCUCGGCCAGGCCAUAGCACAACGUUUC